GGGGUUUUAGCUCAAUUGGUAGAGCGCGGGUCUUGCAUGUCCGAGGUUUCAGGUUCGAUGCCUGUAAACUCCA
rnacentral:tRNA from 1 species